GAGAUAGCAAAGUAAGAACAGCGGGAUGGAGGAUUGAGAAAAGAAUUUUUUAAGAUGGGAAAGACUUGAGCAUGUUUACUGAUGGGAGAGACCAAAUUGAGGUAGGUGGUUAAAGAUGCAGAAAAGAAAAUGAAAUUUAUUGUACCGAGGUCUUUUAAAAGACCUUUCAUUCUGUUGACAGGCUGAGGUAGAGGAAAGGCUAAUUUGUUCAGUGUGAAGUUUUCUUUAUGUUUCUUAUGGUUCAGGUAGGGGGUAGUCCAUAGUUACUGACAGAGGUUAAAAGAGUUCAUUUCAUGGUGCCCUGCUUUAUCUCUCCCUCUCUUGUAGGUCCUGAAGAUUUUCUUCAUGAUUUUUUAUCAUUGCUUUGGAGAGAGGAAGGAAUGGGGUACAUGAAAUGUACCAUGAAUUAAAUGCUGAUGUUUGGGCAAGGCUAUAGUGGUGUCUAUUAUAUAAUGUAAAGUUCUAGAAAUCAGAGCUUCCUUUAAAACACAAGGUGGGGAUGCCUGGGUGGCUCAGUGGUUGUGUGUCUGUCUUUGGCUCAGGUCAUGAUCCUCGGGUCCUGGGACUGAGUCCCACAGCGGGCUUCUGGCAGGGAGCCUGCUUCUCCCUCUGCCUAUGUCUCUGGCUCUAUCUCUGUGUCUCUUAUGAAUAAAUAAAUAGAUAAAUCUUAAAAAAACAAAACAAAGGGUGUAUUGUAAAACAUUAUAAGUACUAUAUAAAUAAAGUUAUCCUAUGCUGGCAAGAGAAUCCCCUCUGGGUGAUGUGCAGGGAUGGCUAUGAUUCCUAAUCCAUGCUUCCUCCUAGAGUGACAGGUCUGUGAUCCAAGAAUAAUAAUAAGGAUACAUAUCAAAUAUUGAUGGUCUACUGAGUGUGGGUACAAAGUAUAUGUUAUUUUUAUGUUCUUAUAAGAAUCCUGCAAAGUAGAUAUCAUUAUUUUUAGUUUAUAGAUAAGUAAAGCCUCAGAAUAGAUAAAUUUCUACAGUCAAAGAGCUAGUAAAUGGCUCAACUAGCAUUAGAACCCAAUCUUGUCCAUCUCAGGGUGUGAACCUUUUGCACUGAGUAACAUGAUGAGCAUCCUGCAGAAAUACCUAACUAGAGUGAUUUUUUUCAGAAUUUCUUUCAUAGUCAUGUGUUGUUAUGCAACUAAAAUAUCUUCUCUGUUAGAAAAUAGUGAACAACUAACAUAGAGAAAAAUUAGUAUUGUUGUACAAAGGAGAAAGUUGGAGGAAAACUGGAUCCAGAAAUAUAGAGAUUAAUGGGAGGAAAAAAAUCAUUAUCCCCAGCAUCACAUAUUCCUUCAGCUUGCUCAUUUGUUCUUGCACUUCAUUUAUUCAUUCAAUUAAUAAUAUUUUUAAACUUUUUAAAAUAUUUGAUUUAUUUAUUUGAGAAAGCAAGCACAAGAGGGGGGAUAGAGGCAGAAGGAGAGGCAGGCUCCCCGCUGAGAAGAAAGUUCAACCUGGGGCUUGAUCCCAGGACCCUGAGAUCAUGACCUGAGCCAAAGGCAGGUGCCCAACCAGCAGAGAGCCACCAAGGCUCCCCUAAUAUUUUUAAAUUUCCAGACAGAGAUAUUUUAUCCUCAUAGAGCUAAAAGUAAUUGCACAAUUAAAUACUUGCAAUUAUGACAAGUAUUACAAAGGAGAAGUUUGGAGGCUAUGGGGGAAGAUAAAAGGAAGGAAAAAACUUAGUUAAGCUUUCCUUGUCAGCUUGAGCUUUCCUUGAGGAAGUGAUAAUUAAGCUGACUUUUGAAAAAGAAGUAGAAAUGAACCAAUCAAAUGAGGUGUGAGGAGACGAGUCUUGUUUCAGGCAGAGGGAAUUGCACAUGGAAAGGUCCAAACGCAGAAAGAGUCAUGGCAUAGGGCCCGGCAGAAAGAGUCAUGGCAUAGGGCCCGUGUGACUGGAGCCCAAAAAGUAAGAGAAUGUAAUUAGAUGAUAGUGGUGAGGUAGGCAGGGAGUCAAAACACGAGGCCUUGCGAUCACCUUAAGUAUUCUUUUUUAAAAUUAUCUAUUGCUUUUAUCUGCUCAGGAUUCACCUCUCCUCUCUUCUGUCAGGCAAUGAAUGGCAUUGUGAUCUACCCUUAGGGAACCGAUCUUUAAACCAUGAAGCUCACAGAGAGCUAGUUGACCAUGAGCUUCAAGGGUGAGCUCUUGUUAAACCAGCUUUGGCCAAUGAGAGAAUAACCUUUUCGACGCCCUAAAGGAAAUGCCAAACAUACAACCCAAGCUAGACCAAAUCAAGACCAAUAGGGCUAAUAGAGCUUUUUGCAUAUGUUGUGAAAAGUAUUCUCUUUCUGUGGGGACUG
rnacentral:lncRNA from 1 species